CUGUUUCCCUUUGGGGAUGGGGAGUCUCUGGGCUGAGGUGAGAUUGCUGUGUGAGUGGCAGGGAACAGGGAGCUGAGAAUUGCAGGCACUGAUGGAAUAGUUGUCUUAGGUCUGUUUGGUUUGUGUUGGUGAAAACUGGGAUGUGGGCUGGAGAGGUGCUCUUGGGAACAAUGGAUAGAGUACAUUUGCUCCAUGGAUGUGUAAGGAAGGACAGGGAAGGGGGGAGUAUUUAUAAACUGUUCUCAGUAUUUCAUGCAACUUUGGGGUGGAGCAGCGAUGCGGGUGGGUGGGUUUGGCCUGGGCCUGUCAGGACUAACCCCAAAGAAUCCAACCAAGCCCCUGACCCCUCAAGGCAUCUGUGAAACGCUUCCACAGCAACCCAAGUCAGAAAUCCAGUGAUUAUGGAGGUAAAAUUAUAGAUGCUGGGAUUGCCUCUGGGCACAUGUGCUGAGCUCUCCCUGCAGGGAACUGUCAGCCCUGAAUGCCUGUGCACUAACUGCAGCUGCCCAGGCAGGCACAGGAAACUAUUCCACACAUGAAAUUGCCAUGACCCAAGGCCCUCCUGGAGAGAGUGUAGAGAGUUACAGCACUGAUCCUGCUCCCUGCUUUCCCAGUAGUGCAUGAACAUGAUUUCAUCCUGAUCCUGAGAGCGCCAAGGACAAUAACCACUGAGGUGCCACUGAUGAUGCCACUUUUCUGAUGGGCCUGGCCCAGAACCAUAGCCCAGCAGGGUUCUGUGGGAGCAGUUCAGUUCCCCCUCCCUUCCUGCACUCUGGGCAGUUCCAGGAGACACCUGAUCCCUUUCCUAGGCUGCCACCACAGCCUAAGCUCCCACCCCCACUGGGCUGUGAUGGCAUCAGCCCACCCAGAGCUAGCUGCCUGCUCCGGCCCUUGUGCCGCUGCUGCACAUCAGGCCCGGCCAGGGGAGCUAAAAUAGAGCCUGGAACUCUCAAGGGUAAACUGGCAGCACAACCACAACCCUCCCUCACUUGAGAGUAAAGAGGUGUCCCUGUAUUUACACACAUCCAGGAACAAUACUUCUCUAGAGGAGUCUUGGAUUUACUUUUUUUAUCAGUUGAACUGGCACAGCUGCCCCCUGAUGCCAUUAAAUUCUCCAUCCCCACAAUCCCUGGUUACCCUUGGCUGUGGGGUUUUUGCUGUCCCACAGUGAGUUAGGAGGGAUCUCUGGCCAGCCUCAUUGCCCAAGAGCAUUUGAAAUCCUAAUCCUCACUUCUCUGACUACUGAAUGUCUUAAAAGCCACUCUGCAUUGUGCAGACAAGCGCCUUGGUCCCACUGGGAACUGCACAUCUCUAACAGCUGUUAUCAGUUAUUCCAACUGAGUAAAAUAAUUAUUAAAGAAAA